rnacentral:rRNA from 1 species
CUGAUGCAGCGACGCCGCGUGAGGGAUGGAGGCCUUCGGGUUGUAAACCUCUUUCGCCAGUGAAGCAGGCCUGCUCCUUGUGGGUGGGUUGACGGUAGCUGGAUAAGAAGCGCCGGCUAACUACGUGCCAGCAGCCGCGGUAAUACGUAGGGCGCGAGCGUUGUCCGGAAUUAUUGGGCGUAAAGAGCUCGUAGGCGGCUGGUCGCGUCUGUCGUGAAAUCCUCUGGCUUAACUGGGGGCUUGCGGUGGGUACGGGCCGGCUUGAGUGCGGUAGGGGAGACUGGAACUCCUGGUGUAGCGGUGGAAUGCGCAGAUAUCAGGAAGAACACCGGUGGCGAAGGCGGGUCUCUGGGCCGUUACUGACGCUGAGGAGCGAAAGCGUGGGGAGCGAACAGGAUUAGAUAACCCUGGUAGUCCACGCCGUAAACGUUGGGCACUAGUGUGGGGGGCCUUUC